UACGGGGGGGGCAAGCGUUGUUCGGAAUUACUGGGCGUAAAGGGCUCGUAGGCGGCCAACUAAGUCGGACGUGAAAUCCCCAGGCUCAACCUGGGAACUGCGUCCGAUACUGGAUGGCUUGAAUCCGGGAGAGGGAUGCGGAAUUCCAGGUGUAGCGGUGAAAUGCGUAGAGAUCCGGAGGAACACCAGUGGCGAAGGCGACACGCUGGGCCGUACCUGACACUGAGGCGCGAUAGCAUGGGGAGCAAACAGG
rnacentral:rRNA from 1 species